ACUGCCAUAUUCCAUGGUCGUUCGGAUUGUGGCUCCGAAGGUCGGUGGUUCGAGCCCACCCAGCCGUACCA
rnacentral:tRNA from 1 species